UCGUCAGGUAGGAUAAUCCUUACCUGUUUCUCCUUUAUUGGAGAACAGAUUAGAACAUGAUGAUUGGAGUUCGCAUGAUUCGUGAUUAACGUCUCUGCGUAAUCAGGACUUGCAACACCCUGAUUGCUCCUAUCUGAU